CACGGUGGGAGCAAGCGUUGUUCGGAAUCACUGGGCGUAAAGGGCGUGUAGGCGGUCAGGUAAGUGGGACGUGAAAUCCCUCGGCUCACCCGAGGACCUGCGUCCCAUACUGCUUGGCUUGAGUAUGGGAGAGGAUGAGGGAAUUCCUGGUGUAGCGGUGAAAUGCGUAGAUAUCAGGAGGAACACCGGUGGCGAAGGCGCUCAUCUGGCCCAAUACUGACGCUGAGGCGCGAAAGCUAGGGGAGCAAACGGG
rnacentral:rRNA from 1 species